rnacentral:rRNA from 1 species
CCAGACUCCUACGGGAGGCAGCAGUGGGGAAUAUUGCACAAUGGGGGGAACCCUGAUGCAGCGACGCCGCGUGGGUGAAGGAGCACCUCGGUGCGUAAAGCCCUAUCGGCAGGGAAGAAACAGACGGUACCUGACUAAGAAGCCCCGGCUAACUACGUGCCAGCAGCCGCGGUAAUACGUAGGGGGCAAGCGUUAUCCGGAUUUACUGGGUGUAAAGGGCGCGUAGACGGCAUAGCAAGUCUGAAGUGAAAGCCCGAGGCUCAACCAUGGGACUGCUUUGGAAACUGUUAAGCUAGAGUGCUGGAGAGGUAAGCGGAAUUCCUAGUGUAGCGGUGAAAUGCGUAGAUAUUAGGAAGAACACCAGUGGCGAAGGCGGCUUACUGGACAGUAACUGACGUUGAGGCUCGAAAGCGUGGGGAGCAAACAGGAUUAGAUACCCCCGUAAUC